UACGUAGGGUGCGAGCGUUGUCCGGAAUUACUGGGCGUAAAGAGCUUGUAGGCGGUUUGUCGCGUCGUUUGUGAAAACUUGGGGCUCAACCCCAAGCUUGCAGGCGAUACGGGCAGACUAGAGGUAUGCAGGGGAGAACGGAAUUCCUGGUGUAGCGGUGAAAUGCGUAGAUAUCGAGAGGAACACCUGCGGCGAAGGCGGGUUGCUGGGCUGACACUGACGCUGAUGCGCGAAAGCUAGGGGAGCGAACGGG
rnacentral:rRNA from 1 species